GGACUACUCGGGUAUCUAAUCCUGUUUGCUCCCCACGCUUUCGUGUCUCAGCGUCAGUAUCUGUCCAGUUGGCCGCCUUCGCCACCGGUGUUCCUCUCGAUAUCUACGAAUUUCACCUCUACACCGAGAAUUCCACCAACCUCUCCAGUACUCAAGCCACGCAGUAUCAAGUGCACUUCCAGGGUUGAGCCCUGGGCUUUCACACCUGACUUAUGUGGCCGCCUACACACGCUUUACGCCCAGUAAUUCCGAACAACGUUUGCACCCUCUGUCUUACCGCGGCUGCUGGCAC
rnacentral:rRNA from 1 species